rnacentral:rRNA from 1 species
CCUACGGGAGGCAGCAGUGGGGAAUUUUCCGCAAUGGGCGAAAGCCUGACGGAGCGACGCCGCGUGGGUGAUGAAGUCUUUCGGGAUGUAAAGCCCUUUCAGCAGGGAAGAAGACAGUGACGGUACCUGCAGAAGAAGCAUCGGCUAACUACGUGCCAGCAGCCGCGGUAAU